rnacentral:rRNA from 1 species
GUGUCAGCAGCCGCGGUAAUACGUAGGGGGCAAGCGUUGUCCGGAAUCAUUGGGCGUAAAGCGCGUGUAGGCGGCCAUCCAAGUCCGAUGUGAAAGCUCGGGGCUCAACCCCGAGUCUGCAUUGGAAACUGGCUGGCUUGAGUCCGGAAGAGGAGACUGGAAUUCCUGGUGUAGCGGUGAAAUGCGCAGAUAUCAGGAAGAACACCGGUGGCGAAGGCGGGUCUCUGGGACGGUACUGACGCUGAGACGCGAAAGCGUGGGGAGCAAACAGGAUUAGAUACCCUGGUAGUCCACGCCGUAAACGAUGGGCACUAGGUGUGGGAGGUGUCGACUCCUUCCGUGCCGUAGCUAACGCAUUAAGUGCCCCGCCUGGGGAGUACGGCCGCAAGGCUAAA